rnacentral:rRNA from 1 species
UACGUAGGGGGCAAGCAUUGUCCGGAAUCAUUGGGCGUAAAGAGCGUGUAGGCGGCCAGAUAAGUCCGCUGUGAAAUCUCGAGGCUCAACUUCGAGCUGUCGGUGGAAACUGUCUGGCUAGAGUCCGGAAGAGGAGAAUGGAAUUCCUGGUGUAGCGGUGAAAUGCGUAGAGAUCUGGAAGAACACCGAAGGCGAAGGCAGCGUUCUGGGAAGCAACUGACGCUCAUGUGCGAAAGCCAGGGGAGCGAACGGG